rnacentral:lncRNA from 1 species
UAGCACAACAUUGUAAGUCAGCUAGACUUUAAUCAAAAGAAAAAAAAAACAGCAAAAAAAAGAAGGAAAAGAGAGACAGAAAGAAAGAGAAAAAGAGAGAAAGAAAGAAAGAGAGAGAGAAAGAAAGAAAGAAAGAAAGAAAGAAAGAAAGAAAGAAAGCAAGCAAGCAGAAAAUGCACCAAGCAUUCUUUGUUCAGACCACACGGGCCCUCUGCUCAGAGUUGAUAAGAAGAGCGAGUAGGACCACGUCGGUAUGAGAGAUGCAGUAGGUGAACAGGUGUGCCUUCCCAAGUCAAACACCUGGGGUGUGAUGGAGCCAGAUGCUGGACAAAAGGCGGUGCACGUCUGCGAUAUUGAAAGGGGAAAAAAAGAAGAACCCCGCUAUCACUGCAGCUUUCUACUGACGAGUAAUUUCCAAAGCACAGUGCAGGGAGGGGACACAGGAACAGAAUCGAGAUCUCGUGGAGCUGAGGAGACAAAAAUUAAAGUUCAGGGGAGAUAAGGCAGAUGCAGACUGUAGGACAGGGGACCCAAGAGGAGGAGUCUGGAAAUUGCACAGAGGUUCUCUUGAGUCUCUGCCUGACCACAGUCUGAACAAGGGCAGCAUGAAAUUCCACAGGCCAGGCAGCGAUGCCCACAGAACUGCCCAGAACUUUACACGUGUGUGAAAUAUUUAAGUUCCCACGAGCCAGAGGGCAGAGACCUCACUGAAUAUAUAAAGCAGUCAUUGGAGGCCGACAAAAUCUUACCUAUGGGCUCUGGUCCAAUUGGAAGGCACAAACCAGCCAGGUGUCUGAACAGGAAAAUUUCAUAUAAAGAAGUAUUAACUGCAAUAGGGGAGGAACUGUGAAGAUGAAAAGAGAAUGCGAGAAAAUCCCGAGGCUGAAGGCACGGAGCCAAGAAUGGACACCCCUGGAAGGAGGGCUUCUUCCUCACGGCCGGGACUCAGACCUCGCUGGAGACAGCACUUGCAGGAUAGUGAAGACUUUUGCUGGAGUGUGCGAAGCUCAGCGGGUUCACAGCAGCCAUGGAAACAGGAAGCAUCCUGCAGGUGCAGAUGGGCCAAGGCUGGUGGGCCAGUGUGCAGAGAGCUGGGGCACUGGAAGCCCGCUUGCCAACAGGUGGCAGGAACCAUGGUGUCCAUACCCAGAGGGCUACAUCCGGGUGGUGAUCAGACUGGGUCCGAGCACCACGGGCCGUGAUCUGUGUAAGAAAAAAAAAAAAAAUGGCACAUCAGAACCAGAAAAAGAAGCUCCUUCCUCCCGAAUUUCCCUCCAGCACCCUCUGCUGACAAAGCCUGAUAUUGUGCUCACUGGAGAGGAGAAAGAAAUGUUUACUGCUUCAUUAUCACAGCACAAGAGAACAACUGGUCCGUCGGGAGCUGAGAGGCCAGGAAGCGAUAAAUGGCAUGUGGGACAAAAACAGCCCUAGAGGAAAAGAAUGCUUUAGAUCUGCUACAACCCAACACGAGACUCCAAAAAAUCAAAGUCAUCUUCGAAUAUCUUAACUGUGAAAUAGGAAAAACUCCACCGCCUUUAAAGAAAUACAAUAAGGCAGGACCUGUCAUGGCGCAGCGGCAACGAAUCUGACUAGGAACCAUGAGGUUGCGGGUUUGAUCCCUGGCCUUUCUCAGUGGGUUAAGGAUCUGACUUUGCCAAAAAGGCGAAAAACAAAUAGACUAAAACCCAGCACUGGAUAUCACAUUGGUGAUGUCAGGUAUAUCAUCGAAAACUCCUAGACAAGUAUUAGCUUGGGGCAAAGAUGGAGUUGCGGAGAGAUGGACUUUUCCUCCUGCCAGAAAUGGAAAAGUACCUACCAUGAUGGUUAUGGAGAUAUUUUACACCAGGCAACAGAGGACAGCGACCCCUCGGAGAGAGAAGCAAACAAGGUGGGCCCUACAAUUGCGCAUCUUGCUGCGUGGAGAGGGGAUUUCUAAGUCCUGAUACGGAGAGCAAGAGCCCAGACAAGCCGAGGAGGCUGCCUGAGUAAAGGAGCGAGGCUGAGAGUUUGUAAACAAAGCAGCAGGAAUGCUCCAGGACCAGAGAGGAGAGUAGCACAGAGAGAACCCCAGAGGUGUGUGGGUGCUCAGCUUGAGUCAUCCAGCACUUACCGAACUGCGGCUAUUUCAGCAUUUACUGAAAUCAAAUUUCUUGAGAUGAAAACUACAGUGUGAGAGACUUAAAAACACACUGGAUAGAAUUGAGAGUCACUUAGACGUUGCAGAAGAAAAGAUGGGUGAAGGUGAGCGCGCAGCAAUAAAAACUAACCACACGGAAACAGAAAGAAAAUUAACUGACACUAAAACAAGCAGAAUGUUAGUGAGUUGUAGGAAAAUAUCCAGCAGCCUAGUACAUGACGCACUGGAGCCCCUGGAAGGGACGGGAGAAGAAAAGGUAUUUGGGGAAAGCAACGGCCAAAACGCUUCUAAAUCUGAUGAAAACAAUAAACGCACAGCCAAGAAUCUCAACAAACUCCAAGCACAAGAAAUAUAAUGAAAGGUAUUGAGAAAAAUAUAUAUAAUCAAAUUGUUCAAAACCAGAAAUAAGGAGAGAUCUUAAUAGCAGAUGGAGCAAAAAUAUACAUAACAUACAGAGGCACAAAUUUAAGAAUAACAGCAGGAGUUCCCCUCGUGGCUCAGCAGAAAUGAAACUGACUAGAGUCCAUGAGGAUGCAUGUUUGAUCCCUGGCCUCACUCAGUGGGUUAAGCAUCUGGCAUUGCCACGAGCUGGGGUGUAGGUCGCAGACACGGCUCGGAUCUGGCAUUGCUGUGGCCGUGGCGUAGGCUGGCAGCUGUAGCUCCGAUUGUACCCCUAGCCUGGGAACCUCCAUAUGCCAGGGGUGCGGCCUUAAAAAGACUGAAAAAAAAAGAAAAA